rnacentral:rRNA from 1 species
UACUGGCUCAGGAUGAACGCUAGCUACAGGCUUAACACAUGCAAGGUCGAGGGCAGCAGGACGAUAGCUUGCUAUGUUGCUGGCGACCGGCGCACGGGUGAGUAACGCGUAUCCAACCUUCCCCUUAGUAGGGCAUAGCCCGGUGAAAAUCGGAUUAAUACCCUAUGUUGUGUCAUGAGGACAUCUGAAUAACACUAAAGAUUUAUCGCUAAGGGAUGGGGAUGCGUCCGAUUAGGUAGUCGGCGGGGUAACGGCCCACCGAGCCCUCGAUCGGUAGGGUUCUGAGAGGAAGGUCCCCCCACACUGGUACUGAGACACGGACCAGACUCCUACGGGAGGCAGCAGUGAGGAAUAUUGGUCAAUGGGCGCGAGCCUGAACCAGCCAAGUAAGCGUGCAGGAUGACGGCCCUAUGGGUUGUAAACUGCUUUUAUACGGGGAUAAAGUGAGGGACGUGUCCCUUAUUGUAGGUACCGUAUGAAUAAGGACCGGCUAAUUCCGUGCCAGCCGCAGC